UCGCGAAAACUCCACAAUGUGGGAAACCACGAUGGGGGAACUCCAAGUGCUGACGCUUUGCGUUAGCUGUUCUCUGGCCUAAAAAGCCGGAGAAGUAAGGGCCGGGUAAGACGGGUGCCAGCCGCCGCGGUAAUACCCGCGGCCCGAGUGGUGUUCUUUUUUAUUGAGCCUAAAGCGUCCGUAGCCGGCCUUGUAAAUCUCUGGGUAAAUCGGGCAGCUUAACUGUCCGAAUUCCGGAGAGACUGCAAGGCUUGGGACUGGGAGAGGUUGAAGGUACUCCAGGGGUAGGGGUAAAAUCCUGUAAUCCUUGGGGGACCACCAGUGGCGAAGGCGUUCAACUAGAACAGAUCCGACGGUGAGGGACGAAGCCCUGGGGCGCAAACGGGAUUAGAUACCCCGGUAGUCCAGGGUGUAAACGCUGCAGACUUGGUGUUGGGGUUCCUGCGAGGGAUUCCAGUGCCGGAGAGAAGUUGUUAAGUCUGCCGCUUGGGGAGUACGGUCGCAAGACUGAAACUUAAAGGAAUUGGCGGGGGAACACCGCAACGGGAGGAGCGUGCGGUUUAAUGGAUUCGAACGCC
rnacentral:rRNA from 1 species